AUGUAUGCUUUCUCUGCAACAGGAUGUAUAGUGAGCUUAUCUCAAAAAGUAUUGCAGAAGGGAUACUUUAACGGGGAAGAUUAUUGCGUUAAAGAAGGUCGAGAAGCGUGUGCGAACAACAGGUGGUGGGAGUACAGGAACUGUAAGAACCUACGAAUUCGAGAGGAUACCGCAAAAUAUCUUCUUAAUCUUGAUGUAACUUCAGCCCAUUAUGACCCCAAGACCAGGUUCAUACGUGACGAUCCUCUUCCUGAGGCAGAUCCAAAUGAAAAGUUUUACUUGGUAAUUUGUCUCUAA